GAGCCUACGGGACGCAGCAGUGGGGGAUAUUGCACAAUGGGGGAAACCCUGAUGCAGCGACGCCGCGUGAGUGAAGAAGUAUUUCGGUAUGUAAAGCUCUAUCGGCAGGGAAGGAAAAAAUGACAGUACCUGACUAAGAAGCCCCGGCUAAAUACGUGCCAGCAGCCGCGGUAAUACGUAUGGUGCAAGCGUUAUCCGGAUUUACUGGGUGUAAAGGGAGCGCAGGCGGUGCGGCAAGUCUGAUGUGAAAGCCCGGGGCUCAACCCCGGG
rnacentral:rRNA from 1 species